rnacentral:rRNA from 1 species
ACGGAAGGCAGCAGUGGGGAAUAUUGCACAAUGGGGGAAACCCUGAUGCAGCGACGCCGCGUGAGCGAUUGAAGUAUUUCGGUAUGUAAAGCUCUAUCAGCAGGGAAGAAAAUGACGGUACCUGACUAAGAGGCCCCGGCUAACUACGUGCCAGCAGCCGCGGUAAUACGUAGGGGGCAAGCGUUAUUCGGAUUUACUGGGUGUAAAGGGUGCGUAGACGGCUGUGCAAGUCAGAAGUGAAAUCCCAGGGCUUAACCCGGGUGCUGCUUUUGAAACUGUACGGCUAGAGUGCUGGAGGGGCAAGCGGAAUUCCUGGUGUAGCGGUGAAAUGCGUAGAUAUCAGGAGGAACACCGGUGGCGAAGGCGGCUUGCUGGACAGUAACUGACGUUGAGGCACGAAAGCGUGGGGAGCAAACAGGAUUAGAUACCCUGGUA